GUGAGGAAUAUUGGUCAAUGGGCGAGAGCCUGAACCAGCCAAGUCGCGUGAAGGAAGAAGGAUCUAUGGUUCGUAAACUUCUUUUGCAGGGGAAUAAAGUGCAGGACGUGUCCUGUUUUGUAUGUACCCUGAGAAUAAGGAUCGGCUAACUCCGUGCCAGCAGCCGCGGUAAUACGGAGGAUCCGAGCGUUAUCCGGAUUUAUUGGGUUUAAAGGGUGCGUAGGUAGUUUGAUAAGUCAGCGGUGAAAGUUUGCAGCUUAACUGUAAAAAUGCCGUUGAAACUGUCGGACUUGAGUGUAAAUGAGGUAGGCGGAAUGCGUGGUGUAGCGGUGAAAUGCAUAGAUAUCACGCAGAACUCCGAUUGCGAAGGCAGCUUACUAAGCGAUAAUUGACGCUGAGGCACGAAAGCGUGGGGAGCAAACAGGAUUAGAUACCCGAGUAGUCC
rnacentral:rRNA from 1 species